GGGAAAACUCGUCAGGGCCGCGGGGUUCUGGCGCGCGCGGGCCGUGGAGCUGCCAUGAGCCUGUGGGUGGACAAGUACCGGCCCUGCUCCUUGGCGCGCCUGGACUACCACAAGGAGCAGGCGGCCCAGCUGCGCAACCUGGUUCAGUGUGGUGACUUUCCUCACCUCUUAGUAUAUGGACCCUCAGGUGCUGGGAAAAAGACAAGGAUCAUGUGUGUCCUACGCGAACUUUAUGGUGUUGGAGUGGAGAAAUUAAGAAUCGAACAUCAGACCAUCACAACUCCAUCCAAAAAGAAAAUUGAAAUCAGCACCAUUGCAAGUAAUUACCAUCUUGAAGUUAAUCCCAGUGAUGCUGGAAAUAGUGACCGGGUAGUAAUUCAGGAGAUGUUGAAAACAGUGGCGCAAUCACAGCAACUUGAAACAAGCUCUCAAAGAGAUUUUAAAGUGGUGUUAUUGACAGAGGUGGACAAACUCACCAAAGAUGCUCAACAUGCCUUGCGCAGAACAAUGGAAAAAUACAUGUCUACAUGCAGGUUGAUCUUGUGUUGCAAUUCUACAUCCAAAGUGAUACCACCCAUUCGCAGCAGGUGCCUGGCAGUUCGAGUGCCUGCUCCUAGCAUUGAAGAGAUUUGCUAUGUGUUAACUGCUGUGUGCAAGAAAGAAGGUCUGACUCUUCCUUCCCAGCUGGCCCAUCGGCUGGCAGAGAAGUCCCGCAGAAAUCUCCGAAAAGCCCUGCUGAUGUGUGAAGCAUGCAGAGUCCAACAAUACCCUUUCACUGCAGAUCAAGAAAUCCCUGAGACAGACUGGGAGGUGUAUCUGCGGGAGACCGCAAAUGCCAUUGUCAGUCAGCAAACUCCACAGAGGCUCCUUGAAGUCCGUGGAAGGCUCUAUGAGCUUCUAACACAUUGCAUUCCUCCUGAGAUAAUAAUGAAGGGUCUCCUCUCAGAACUUUUGCAUAAUUGUGAUGGACAACUGAAAGGGGAAGUGGCCCAGAUGGCAGCUUAUUAUGAACAUCGUCUCCAGCUGGGUAGCAAGGCCAUUUAUCACUUGGAAGCAUUUGUAGCCAAAUUUAUGGCACUUUAUAAGAAGUUUAUGGAGGAUGGAUUGGAAGGCAUGAUGUUCUGACUGCUAUCGGUCCCUUAUGUUGAAUUUUGGCUAUCAGCCAAAAUAGCUGUUUGCUUGCUUUUAAAUUGCAGAGUACAUCCAGUUGUGAGGAUACGGAUAAGUCCACUCAUUGCCUCAUUCAGUGUGAAUUAUUUUGAGGAGUAACCGCCAUGGAUAGACUCUUGGGCUGAUCCACAAAUCAUAUACUCUGUUGUGACAAGCUUCAUAGAUCCUGGCUUCCUACGUAACACCUGUUUUUGAGAUUGUGUUGCUGUUU